rnacentral:lncRNA from 1 species
GGGUGUGUCCGUAAAAGCCGGGGGGCCCAUGGACGUUGUAUUGGCAUUGAUGCGGGUACGCGGGAGGCCAUCAUCAUCAUCCCUCGUUCGCUUCAGAGCGAAUCGCCUCAGCGCGACGUGCCUGGCCUCCCAGAUUUCCGAGAUGUACCUGGCCAAUGCCAGAGGUGGCGCCUCAGUCAUAAUGGUGCGCAUGCUGCGCCCCUUGAAGACGAGGUCACCAUCGUACUUAGCCCGUGCGCUCUUGCGAGCGGGGCAUUCAUCAAACGCAUGCAAUGUAUUUUCAACCGCUCCACAGUCACAAAGCCUGCAGGUACGCGCGGUGCGCUCACGCCCAUUAGGCCGAUUAACCCCUAACUCCCAACAGCCUAACAGGAAACGCAUGGGCACUUGAUGCAGUCGCUGGGGGCAUGGCUACUUUAGUGUGCUCCAGCCAAUCGAGCCGCGCAUCCCUAGGCGGGGCCGCUCCCACCCAUUUGUUAUAGCGACAAGCCUUGCCUCCGGUAAUCCCUAUGGGGAAAACGCGGGGGUCACCUAAGGUAUUCAGACACUCCGACCGUGCAUCAAGCCGCUUGGCAAAUACCUUCAGAAUGCUCCCAACUGGCAAGUUAAGGGUGGCGUAAUGCGCUAUGAGAUCAUCACCGCGCGUAUAAGAGAGCUCGCGAUCAAUAGAGACAUGCAGAUGGACUAUUGUUAACAUGUUGGCCGAUUACCUGCGAGUGUGUGCGUUUAUGCGGGUUCGCAGGGUGGGGUGGGGUGGGGUGGGGUGGGGAGUUUACGGUAUUGCGCGCCAUGGGCGCGUGCAUCCACCUGCUGCCAUUCCGUCUGGGUGUUGGUUUUUGUAUUUGUGUGUGUGGUGGGCCCAUCACGUGGCCUGUCGGCGCUGGGAGGGGCAGAAGCUGGGCCCAGGGGGGAAAGCGCGGAGGAGCUCCCCUGGAGCAAUCAAUGAGGUCCCCCGCUGCUGGCGGCGCCGCCUUUCCUCUUCCUGAGCUGUUCUCCCACGUCCUCCACCUCAACGGGAAGAUAGGAAAGAGCUCAGAGGUUGGUCGUCCUGUCCCACCCGCAGUGAAUGAGUGCGCCACUCACAUCGCCACACAUCACACGCAGUUUUGUCUCAUGGAAGGGGUGUUUCCUUUCUCUCCCACGCAUUGUGGAUUAUGGCUAGGUGGGGUGAGCGCCUCAUGGCACAAGAGGGGUCCGGGCCGGGCCAGGUUGCCGCGGGACCGGCGCUCUGAUCUAGCGUCCGGAAUGCAUACACUGUUCGUUCGGUGCCUAAUUACUGCUAAUUACAACGAGGAUCUGCCAUUUUGUCCGACGUGUAAGCCAAUCGGGAAUAAAUUAAGGAUCCUUAAUAGGGAAUGUAGUUGGUGGGUUAAAAGUACUUGCAAACUGCAGACUGCGAAGCUAAGGAGAGCUCGGAGCCGACGACGUGUAUCCAGCUUGUCCGUUGCCGUACGUAAACACAUACACACACUCUACUCCGACAUCACGCAAUGAGUAUCAGUCAAAAAAACGUAAGCAGUAACAAUUGCAAAAAAACGUGUUUCCCCCUUAACUCCUGAUCAAAUAUUAGAGUAGUUCAUGCUAAAAGCAUGAAUAGCAGCAUCCUUAGAUGUACACUAUCCAUGGAUACCUGUCAUGAACGGUGCCUCAAAUUUUUGAUAUGCUUUUGAGAAUUUUGGAUGGUCAGCGCGGGGUACAUGUGUCUAGCUGCCUGCUGCCUACAGGAUGAACAGCAGCCACAGCUGGGAAAAGCGCUAUUCCAGCCACCAAACGGCCUCCCGACAGAGUGACUGCGGCAUUACAAAUAGGUCUAACAAUAUGGAUUGAGGUACUGCAAUUAAAAGAAUGAAGUCGAAAAUGGCAUGCGCGUUUUACAGUUUUUAAGCGAUCUUGGCAACAGCAGCACCACCACCACCAACCGUACUACUGCUAAUUAAGCCAACCGUCAAACAAGGCUCGUACCCACCUGCGCCCCUGCUGAGCCCAUUCAAGCCCCUUUACACCAUCACCACCACCUCCGCAAAAAUGGAUUUUUACUCCCUCUCUUCCCGCGUAGCGUCCACACACACAAUUACACACCAGUUCCUGUUACCCCCUUCCCUCGCCCGCAGGCGCCGCCAACCCCUCUUGAGAGGUCCGACAUCGGCCCGAGGAGCUUGGAGUCCUAGGAGAGUGGUGGUGGCAGUGGUGGCGAUGGGGGUCCUUCAACAUGUUGCAUGUUACAUGGUGGUGAGAGCUCUUCAUGGAGAGCCCGGGACCGGGCCAUGUAAAACUUAGACGAGCCAAAAGCCCAUAAACCUGCUACAGACAAGCUGUGUCGGCUUCCUCAAAGCCGGGAAAAGGGCGGGGGCCCCAUGCAUGCGUACAGGCCGGUAGCUAUGGCGGCACGCGUGACAAUUGAUGGGUAGUGUCAACGUGGUGGGAGCUGUGCUUGUUGCAGCAGUGCUGAUGCUGUGGGAGGUUUGCUUGCCAGAGCGCGGGAGGCAGGAAGCCGGGGCUCAUAACCUGUUGAAGAGACGGUACACGGCUAAGAGUCAUUGGCCGUUACACGUAGUCGGGAGGUCAGCGACCUGCCACCGACAGCCCCUUGCUUGGGCGUAAACGUAAGAGUGCGAGGUGCAGUUACUGGCACACAGCAGGGGCUCGGCCGCCAAGUCCGCGGUCCAUGCCGGCUGCUCAACGCUCAGCAGACACAAUCGCAGCUUGCCAGGCUUCAGCCUGUUGGCUUUGCGGUCUGGUGCCGCAGCUCGAACACGCACGGAAAACAGCGCCGUACAGCACCGUACACACUGCCUACAGUGCCCCUUCAGGCAUUGACCUGCCUAUUCGGGCGCCCCCCUCAAAGCCUAGCUCGGCACACUUCCCCAAAGCACUCGGCACUUUCUGGUGCUGUCUGUGAUGUUUAUCCCCGAAGCGCCAGCGGCUUCCGCAAUCCGCCCCACAGUCGCGAGCUUCAUCGCGGCGCACUGCAAGUGUUCGGAGGCCCCGAGCAUUGGCCAAAGUAAUUCUAAAAACGAGCAGCUUGCAUACUUCAUAGAGAAAUGAAGGCAAAUUUGUCGGCCUGCUGGUGGCAAGUCGGAAUGCCCGUGCGGGCAAAUGGUCACGCAAGCUGGGUGUUCGAGUUAUCAUACGCCG